rnacentral:rRNA from 1 species
GUCUUUUAAUUGAAGGCUGGUAUGAAUGGUUGGAUGAAAAAUAUACUUUCUUUUUUUUAUAUAAAAAAUUUAAUUUUUUGGUUAAAAAGCCAAAAUGUUUUUAUAGGACGAGAAGACCCUAUAGAACUUUAUUUUCUAUAUAUAUAAAUUUUAUUGAUUUUUAUAAAAUUAUAUAUUUAUGUUAAUUAUGUUGGGGUGACAGAAAAAAUUAUAUAACUUUUUCUAUUUUAGGCAUUUAUUUAUGUUUUGAUCUUUUAUUAAAAAAAUAGGAUUAAGUUACCUUAGGGAUAACAGCGUUAUUUUCUUUGAGAGUUCUUAUUGAUAAGAAAGUUUGCGACCUCGAUGUUGGAUUAAAAUAAGUGGCAGGGGUAGAAUAUUGCUUUACUAGGUCUGUUCGACCUUUAAAUUUUUACA